GGGAGCGGAUGAGGUCCGGUGGCCUCCGCGGUCUUCAAAACCGUUGUUUCGUGUAACAGCGAUGGGAAGGUUCGACUCCUUCGCGUUCCCGCCA
rnacentral:tRNA from 1 species